UAAGGAAUAUUGGUCAAUGGACGCAAGUCUGAACCAGCCAUGCCGCGUGAAGGAUGAAGGUCCUCUGGAUUGUAAACUUCUUUUAUCUGGGACGAAAACGGGAUUUUUAUCUCAAUUGACGGUACCAGAGGAAUAAGCACCGGCUAACUCCGUGCCAGCAGCCGCGGUAAUACGGAGGGUGCGAGCGUUAUCCGGAUUUACUGGGUUUAAAGGGUGCGUAGGUGGGCUUAUAAGUCAGCGGUGAAAUCUCCGAGCUUAACUUGGAAACUGCCGUUGGUACUAUAGGUCUUGAAUUAUCUGGAGGUGAGCGGAAUAUGUCAUGUAGCGGUGAAAUGCUUAGAUAUGACAUAGAACACCAAUUGCGAAGGCAGCUUACUACAUAUAAAUUGACGCUGAGGCACGAAAGCGUGGGGAUCAAACA
rnacentral:rRNA from 1 species